rnacentral:rRNA from 1 species
CGGCUAUACAUUUUAAUAUUUAACUCUAUUUAUUGUUGUAUCUUCUGUUAUUUUGGGUUUUUAUUCUAUUUUUGUAAAAUGUUUUAGUUUUUUGAUGUGUUUUGAAGAUAUAUAAAAUUUGGUGUUUGAACUGGAUUAGUACCCAGGUAAUCAAAAUUUAUUAAUUCGGGAGUAAAGUUUGGUUUAAACCGAAAAAAUAUUGACUGACUUUGGAUUUUUCUUUGGAAUAUGUGAUUUUGGAUAGUCCUCCUUAUUAGUUAAUUUUGUUGGCACAUGUAUGAUUGUUUAGUUUUUAUUAUGUUUGUGAUGCUGUUAUGAUUUUUAUUUUAAAACAGAUAUAUAUUUGGCUUAUAAAUUAAUUUUCAUGUGUUACUAUUAUUAAUUUUUUUUUUUGGAUAUUUACUAAAUGGUUUUUUUGAAAUUGGAAAAGAAAGUAAUUGAUUUUUUAUGUUUGGAUGAAUUUAAUAAAUGAAGUGGUACAAAC